AGCCAAGAAAGAAAAAUAGUUGGGUCCUG
rnacentral:piRNA from 1 species